GAUGAAGAACGUAGUGAAAUGCGAUACUUGGUGUGAAUUGCAGAAUCCCGUGAACCAUCGAGUCUUUGAACGCAAGUUGCGCCCGAAGCCAUUAGGCCGAGGGCACGCCUGCCUGGGCGUCACACGUCGUUGCCCCCCCAUCUACUCCUUUGGGAUUGCGGGGGGCGGAUGAUGGCCUCUCGUGCGCCUCGUCGCGCGGUUGGCCUAAAUGCCAAGUCCUCGGCGACGCACGCCACGACAAUCGGUGGUUGCGAAACCUCGGUUGCCUGUCGUGUGCGGUCGUCGCGCAUCGAGGGCUCGAAAAAAUUGCCGGGCUUCGGCUCGACUUUCAACGCGACCCCAGGUCAGGCGGGGUUACCCGCUGAAUUUAAGCAUAUCAAUAAGCGGAGGA
rnacentral:misc_RNA from 1 species